UACGGCCAUAUUAUAUUGAAACACUGGUUCUUGUAUGAUCACUGAAGUUAAGCAAUGUUGAGCCUGAUCAGUACCUAGGUGGGUGACCACUUGAGAAUAUCAGGUAC